CUUCAGUGAUGAUGCGAUGACGAGUCGGAACGGGACACUGGCUCUCUUUGGAUCCUGGGUUAUUGGACAUGUUCUAUGUCCCUGACUUUAGUUCCUCGGAGUGGCAUGUUCCUUUCGGUUGAAGACAUCGAGGCAUUUGUCUGAGAAGA